rnacentral:tRNA from 1 species
GGAGGGGUGGCCGAGCGGACGAAGGCGGCGGUCUUGAAAACCGCUGUGCCGUUUCCACGGCACCGGGGGUUCGAAUCCCUCCCCCUCCGCCA